GUCCGAAGGCACGCGCCGCAAAAGAAGGCAACCUAGGGUUUCUAAGGAUGUCGAAAUCUCCUGCGAAGAAAACGAGAUUCCUCUAUCGUUUCUAGAUCCAGAAAAUAACGAUCCGUUUCAAAACCGUGGGAGGAGAAGCAUAAUGAGGAGGAGUUAGAUCGGCUCAGUUCUCUCCUACGCGUCAGGGUACACAUUAAAACAUUAUGCACGAGGAAUACUUGGAAGCUUGCGGUCUUGUUGCAAAUGUCGAUCAAAAUUCUAGGGCUAAAAUAUGGAGAGGUAGACCCCCAGAUUUUAUUGGUGGCACCCUUCAAUUGGAUGCAUAUUUAAAGCUCAGAGUCCGAUCCCUAUGCACCAAUUUUUCAAGAAGCAAGAAUUUGCAGAUUGUCAAGCAUUCCAAAGUCUUGGCUGUGCCCCUUUUAUGUCAUGUAAAGGAGGGAUUUAGGAAGAGGUCAAUGGGACAUGAUCACAGACCCAGUUAUUGUUGGGAAGGUUUCUGGAGUCGUUCUGUUGUGCAGAUGCUUACUUGAUGCAUCCAACUUGUCAAAGCGCAUGAGACUAAUGUUUGUGGUGUGCAUUGCAGUUAUCAGCAUGUAUCUUAGUGCUUGUGUGGCAAGGAAUACCACAUCGGAUGCUUAAAAGUACAGCAUGGAUGAUUCAAAGGUUUCAAAUUAUAAAAGUAUGUAGUGAAUAUCAUUGAAAAUUCGAAAGAUGCGAAGGCAAUCUUAUUGCUGGCUCUUCAUCAAACAACAGCAGUUCAGAGAUCAAGCAUUCCAUCCCCACUAAUCUCCAUAUGAAAAGUUAUAAUCUAGUCAAGCAUUUUGCGGCAGAUCAAUACUCAAAUAGGUGUUCUAUUCUUCAUACCAAUGAUCGGCUCCACCUGAUCAUUGGUUUUGCUCCCGGCCAAAUUCACCUGAUAUGACCAGGUUGUUGUUGGUCACUCUAACAGAAGACCUUCAAUGGUCAUUGCUGGAAUGAGCGUCAAGUAUCUUCUUGAAUCAAGCAUGAAAGAAAAUGCACUCCAACUGAAAUGAGAACUGACAUCAUUUGCCGAGAGAGAGCUACAAUUAACUUUUCCACAGAAUUCUCUUUAGGUAACUUUAGAUAAUCCUGCUGUGUAACAUGUUAGCUGCUGACUGUGCUCUUGGUUCAGCGUUAAUGUUUGUUCUUGUUGCACAAAGCAAGAACAUAAACAACGAUACUUCUCCCACGUAAUGGUGAAUUGGUAUUUUUUUUCCUGUACUUCUCUGAUGUAAUGUUGUGCAAAGCAAAAUGUAUAUAGUUUUUUCCUAAAAUUAGCAGCUCGUCAUUUAA